rnacentral:lncRNA from 1 species
AUGUGCCCCAAACAAGACCGUGGUGGUAGUUAUGUCCAGACUCCAUUACCUGAAAAGCAGCGAGGAGCAAAAGUGUCUUGUGCUAGACAGCAAAAUAGGAUGGGGGGUAAUGCAACCCUGAUAAUUUUCCUGGGAUUUGCCAUCUAUCUGAUGAGUUUGUUCCCAGCCACUUACUGCUCAGAAGUUUUUCCUCUGAAAAUCCAGAGCAUGAUUCGCACUACUGAGGAUGAACAGGAAGAGGGAAACAGUCCAACAGCAGACUGGGAGGAAAUGGAGGAGUCAUUUGUGGCCUCAUCAAUAGGGGAAGGAAUGGAGAGCUUGAAAUAAUUUCUGUCUUCAUGAAUGAUAACAAUUGGAACAUCUAGCUAUAUUUCAUGAUCACCCACUGGACAAUACAGCUUGUCUUCAUCAACCACAUCCCAGGGAACUGAAUUAGAACAUUGAAGACAAGGCAAAGGACCCUGUGCACAUAUUGAAAGUGUUUUCCUUUCCUCCUGAGAAACACAAUAAAUUCUCAUUUUUUUCUAAGCCA